UACAGAGGUCUCAAGCGUUGUUCGGAUUCAUUGGGCGUAAAGGCGCGUAGGCGGCCGGUCAGUCGGGCCUGUAAGUGCGGGGCUCAACCCCGUGAUGGGCUCGGGACGGCCCGGCUGGGGCGCGGUCGAGGGAGACGGAAUGCCGGGUGUAGUGGUGAAAUGCGUAGAGAUCCGGCGGAACACCGGUGGUGAAGACGGUCUCCUGGGCCGAGGGCCGACGCUGAGGCGUGAGAGCGUGGGGAGCGAACCGG
rnacentral:rRNA from 1 species